rnacentral:tRNA from 1 species
GGCCUCGUAGUAUAGUGUUAGUAUGCACGCUUUGGGAGCAUGUAGCCUGGAUUUGACUCCCGGCCAAGCCC